AGUGAACGCUGGCGGUAGGCCUAACACAUGCAAGUCGAACGGCAGCACAGUAAGAGCUUGCUCUUACGGGUGGCGAGUGGCGGACGGGUGAGGAAUACAUCGGAAUCUACUUUUUCGUGGGGGAUAACGUAGGGAAACUUACGCUAAUACCGCAUACGACCUACGGGUGAAAGCAGGGGAUCUUCGGACCUUGCGCGAUUGAAUGAGCCGAUGUCGGAUUAGCUAGUUGGCGGGGUAAAGGCCCACCAAGGCGACGAUCCGUAGCUGGUCUGAGAGGAUGAUCAGCCACACUGGAACUGAGACACGGUCCAGACUCCUACGGGAGGCAGCAGCGGGGAAUAUUGGACAAUGGGCGCAAGCCUGAUCCAGCCAUACCGCGUGGGUGAAGAAGGCCUUCGGGUUGUAAAGCCCUUUUGUUGGGAAAGAAAAGCAGCAGGUUAAUACCCCGCUGUUCUGACGGUACCCAAAGAAUAAGCACCGACUAACUUCGUG
rnacentral:rRNA from 1 species